rnacentral:rRNA from 1 species
AGUGAACGCUGGCGGUAGGCCUAACACAUGCAAGUCGAACGGCAGCACAGUAAGAGCUUGCUCUUGCGGGUGGCGAGUGGCGGACGGGUGAGGAAUACAUCGGAAUCUACUUUUUCGUGGGGGAUAACGUAGGGAAACUUACGCUAAUACCGCAUACGACCUACGGGUGAAAGCAGUGGAUCUUCGGACCUUGCGCGAUUGAAUGAGCCGAUGUCGGAUUAGCUAGUUGGCGGGGUAAAGGCCCACCAAGGCGACGAUCCGUAGCUGGUCUGAGAGGAUGAUCAGCCACACUGGAACUGAGACACGGUCCAGACUCCUACGGGAGGCAGCAGUGGGGAAUAUUGGACAAAGGGCGCAAGCCUGAUCCAGCCAUACCGCGUGGGUGAAGAAGGCCUUCGGGUUGUAAAGCCCUUUUGUUGGGAAAGAAAAGCAGCAGGUUAAUACCCCGCUGUUCUGACGGUACCCAAAGAAUAAGCACCGGCUAACUUCGUG